rnacentral:misc_RNA from 1 species
GUGAGUCAUCGAAUCUUUGAACGCACAUUGCGCCCAUUGGUAUUCCGAUGGGCAUGCCUGUUCGAGCGUCAUUAUCCUCCCUCAAACCCCUGGGGUUUGGUGUUGGACCAGGAGCGGCGUGCGCCUCCUCCGGUCUCAAAGACAAUGACGGCGUCCGUGGGACCCUCGGUGCAACGAGCUUUUCGAAGCACGCGUCGAGUGUCUUGUCCCUCCGGGCCGGUCCAGCCUUUUUACUUUUACCAGGUUGACCUCGGAUCAGGUAGGAAUACCCGCUGAACUUAAGCAUAUCAAUAAGCGGAGGA